rnacentral:misc_RNA from 1 species
UAUGAAGAACGUAGCGAAAUGCGAUAAGUAAUGUGAAUUGCAGAAUUCAGUGAAUCAUCGAGUCUUUGAACGCACAUUGCGCCCCCUGGUAUUCCGGGGGGCAUGCCUGUCCGAGCGUCAUUGCUGCCCUCAAGCACGGCUUGUGUGUUGGGCCCCCGCCCCCCGGCUUCGGGGGGCGGGCCCGAAAGGCAGCGGCGGCACCGCGUCCGGUCCUCGAGCGUAUGGGGCUUCGUCACCCGCUCUGUAGGCCCGGCCGGCGCCCGCCGGCGACCCCAAUCAAUCUUUCCAGGUUGACCUCGGAUCAGGUAGGGAUACCCGCUGAACUUAAGCAUAUCAAUAAGCGGAGGA